UACGAAGGGGGCUAGCGUUGCUCGGAAUCACUGGGCGUAAAGGGUGCGUAGGCGGGUUUUUAAGUCAGGGGUGAAAUCCUGGAGCUCAACUCCAGAACUGCCUUUGAUACUGAAGAUCUUGAGUCCGGGAGAGGUGAGUGGAACUGCGAGUGUAGAGGUGAAAUUCGUAGAUAUUCGCAAGAACACCAGUGGCGAAGGCGGCUUACUGGUCCGGUACUGACGCUGAGGUGCGAAAGCGUGGGGAGCAAACAGG
rnacentral:rRNA from 1 species